GAUUAUGGCUCAGGAUGAACGCUAGCGGCAGGCUUAACACAUGCAAGUCGAGGGGGCAGCGGGAUGUAGCAAUACAUUGCCGGCGACCGGCGGAUGGGUGCGUAACGCGUAUGCAACCUACCUUAGUACAGGGGAAUAACCUUUCGAAAGGGAGACUAACACCCCAUGGUAUUGAUUUAAGGCAUCUUAGAUUAAUUAAAUAUUUAUAGGUAUAAGAUGGGCAUGCGUAUGAUUAGCUAGUUGGUAAGGUAACGGCUUACCAAGGCGACGAUCAUUAGGGGUUCUGAGAGGAAGGUCCCCCACACUGGUACUGAGACACGGACCAGACUCCUACGGGAGGCAGCAGUGAGGAAUAUUGGUCAAUGGGCGCAAGCCUGAACCAGCCAUGCCGCGUGCCAGGAAGACGGCCUUAUGGGUUGUAAACUGCUUUUACAUAAGACUAACCGUAUAUUUGCGAAUAUACCUGAAUGUAUUAUGAGAAUAAGGAUCGGCUAACUCCGUGCCAGCAGCGGC
rnacentral:rRNA from 1 species